rnacentral:rRNA from 2 species
GACGAACGCUGGCGGCGUGCCUAACACAUGCAAGUCGAACGGGAAUACAUUUGUAGUAAUAUAGAUGUAUUUUAGUGGCGGACGGGUGAGUAACGCGUGAGCAACCUGCCUUUCAGAGGGGGACAACAGUUGGAAACGACUGCUAAUACCGCAUGAUGUAUCACCAAGACAUCUUGGAGAUACCAAAGAUUUAUCGCUGAAAGAUGGGCUCGCGUCUGAUUAGAUAGUUGGUGAGGUAACGGCUCACCAAGUCAACGAUCAGUAGCCGGACUGAGAGGUUGAACGGCCACAUUGGGACUGAGAUACGGCCCAGACUCCUACGGGAGGCAGCAGUGGGGAAUAUUGGGCAAUGGGGGAAACCCUGACCCAGCAACGCCGCGUGAAGGAAGAAGGCUUUCGGGUUGUAAACUUCUUUGACGAGGGACGAAACAAAUGACGGUACCUCGAAAACAAGCCACGGCUAACUACGUG